GCAACCCCAACAGCAGCCUCCGUCCCGCAGGCCUCCGCCUUCCCAACGUCACUGGCACUGAGUGCAGUGCCCCCUAGGGGCUCCCGCUCGGCUGUGGAAGAAGAGCCAGGUCCUUCCUGCCACUGUCCCGCUACCUGCCGCGCGCGGCUCUCCAGUCCGGAGCCGGCCCCGCCCGCCUCGGGAGGAACUUGAGCGUCUCCGGGCUCCACCGCCGCAUCUCCGCAUCGCGGACGGACCCGCCGCCCCUCGCUCCCGCCGCCUCGCCGCGUCCCCGCUGCACCGCCCGCCCCUCGCCAUGAGCGCGCGCCUGCCGCUCCUCCUGCGCCAGCUCCGCAGCCCCCAGCUCCCCGGCCGGCCGCGCCUCCUUCGAGCGCUGUGUCGCGCCAGCAGCGGCGGGGGCGGCGGAUGUGGGAGCGGGGAGGCCCCGCUGGGGCAGCAGAGGCUGCGGGACUCCCAGGCCGGGAGCAGCCGGGGCCCGGGCAGCCGGGCGCCCCCAGCGCGGGACUCGAUCGUCCGAGAAGUCAUUCAGAAUUCGAAAGAAGUGCUGAGUUUAUUGCAAGAAAAAAACCCUGCCUUUAAGCCAGUUCUUGCUGUUAUUCAGGCAGGUGAGGAUAACUUGAUGCAGGAAAUAAACCAGAAAUUGGCAGAGGAGGCUGGUCUGAACAUCACGCACAUCUGCCUUCCUGCGGACAGCAGUGAAGAUGAGAUUAUAGAUGAGAUCCUGAAGAUUAAUGAAGACUCACGAGUACACGGCCUUGCCCUUCAGAUCUCUGAGUCCUCAUUUAGCAGCAAAAUCCUUCAUGCUUUGAAACCAGAAAAAGAUGUGGAUGGAGUAACGGAUGUCAACCUGGGGAAGUUGGUACGUGGAGAUGCCCAUGACUGUUUCGUUUCGCCUGUGGCCAGAGCUGUCAUUGAACUUCUUGAGAAGUCGGGUGUCAACUUAGAUGGAAAGAAGAUCUUGGUAAUAGGAACCCAUGGGUCUUUGGAAGCCACCCUGCAAUGCCUGUUCCAGAGAAAAGGGUCAAUGACGAUGAGCUCUCAGUGGAAAGCACCUCAGCUUCAAAGCAAGCUUCACGAGGCUGACGUUGUGAUCUUUGGCUCACCCAAGCCAGAAGAGGUUCCCCUGUCCUGGAUCCAGCAAGGAACUACUGUUCUCAACUGUUCCCAUGACUUUCUGUCAGGGAAGCUGGGGUGCGGUUCUCCGGGCAUCCAUGGUCAUAGUCUCAUUGCAGAAGAUGUGAGUCUCCUUGCUGCAGCUCUGAGGAUUCAGAACAUGGUUGGAAGCGGAAGGAGAUGGCUCCGCGAGCAGCAGUACCGCAGGUGGAAACUUCACUGCUUGAAACUUCAGCCUCUGUCCCCCGUUCCAAGUGAUAUUGAGAUUUCAAGAGCACAGACUCCAAAAGCCGUGGAUGUUCUUGCCAAGGAGAUAGGAUUGCUUGAGGAUGAAAUUGAAAUCUACGGCAGAAGCAAAGCCAAAGUACGUCUGUCCCUGCUGGAGAGGUUAAAGAAUCAAGCAGAUGGAAAAUACGUCUUAGUUGCUGGGAUCACACCCACCCCUCUCGGAGAAGGGAAAAGUACAGUUACCAUUGGGCUUGUGCAGGCGUUGACUGCCCACCUCAACAUCAAUGCCUUUGCCUGUCUGAGGCAGCCGUCUCAAGGACCGACUUUCGGAGUUAAAGGAGGAGCUGCCGGUGGUGGAUACGCCCAGGUCAUCCCUAUGGAAGAGUUCAACCUUCACCUGACUGGAGACAUUCACGCCAUCACCGCUGCCAAUAACUUGCUGGCCGCUGCCAUUGACACAAGGAUUUUGCAUGAAAACACUCAAACAGAUAAGGCUCUGUAUAAUCGACUGGUUCCUUCAGUGAAUGGUAUUCGAGAAUUUUCAAAAAUUCAACUUGCUCGGCUAAAAAAACUGGGAAUCAAUAAGACAGAUCCGUGCGCUCUGACGGAGGAUGAAAUGAGGAAAUUUGCCCGCCUGGACAUCGACCCGGCCACCAUCACGUGGCAGAGAGUGUUGGACACAAAUGACCGAUUUCUACGGAAAAUAACCGUUGGGCAGGGGAACACAGAAAAAGGCCAUUCCCGGCAGGCGCAGUUUGACAUCGCGGUGGCCAGUGAGAUCAUGGCAGUGCUGGCCCUGACCGACAGCCUCAAGGACAUGAAGGAGCGGCUGGGAAGAAUGGUGGUGGCCAGUGACAAAAAUGGGCAGCCAGUGACAGCAGAUGACUUGGGGGUGACAGGUGCUUUGACUGUUUUGAUGAAAGAUGCGAUAAAACCAAAUCUGAUGCAGACCCUAGAAGGGACACCUGUAUUUGUACAUGCCGGCCCCUUUGCCAACAUCGCCCAUGGCAACUCUUCUGUAUUGGCUGAUAAAAUUGCCCUGAAACUGGUUGGUGAAGAAGGAUUUGUAGUCACUGAAGCGGGGUUUGGUGCUGAUAUUGGAAUGGAGAAAUUCUUCAACAUCAAGUGUCGAGCUUCUGGCUUGGUGCCCAAUGUCGUGGUGCUGGUGGCGACAGUGCGGGCUCUGAAGAUGCACGGAGGCGGGCCCAGUGUAACUGCUGGUGUCCCUCUUAAGAAAGAAUAUACCGAAGAGAACCUCCAGCUGGUGGCAGACGGCUGCUGUAACCUAAAGAAGCAAAUCCAGAUUGCUCAGCUUUUUGGGGUCCCUGUUGUGGUGGCUCUGAAUGUCUUCAAGACCGACACCCGUGCGGAGAUUGACUUGGUGUGUGAGCUUGCAAAACAGGCCGGCGCCUUUGAUGCCGUCCCCUGCUAUCACUGGUCAGUUGGUGGGAAAGGCUCCGUGGACCUGGCUUGGGCUGUAAGUGAAGCUGCACGUAAAGGAAGUCGAUUCCAGUUCCUCUAUGAUGUGCAGCUUCCAAUUGUGGAAAAGAUCAGAACCAUUGCCCAGGCUGUCUAUGGAGCCAGAGACAUUGAACUCUCUUCUGAAGCCCAAUCCAAAAUAGAUCGUUACACGGAGCAGGGUUUUGGAAAUUUGCCCAUCUGCAUGGCCAAGACCCACCUAUCUCUGUCUCACCAACCUGACAAGAAAGGCGUACCCAAGGAUUUCAUUCUCCCCAUCACUGACGUCCGGGCCAGCAUAGGCGCCGGCUUCAUUUACCCACUGGUUGGAACGCCCAGAAGGAGAAGCUUAUCAACGUGGGUGACACCCUCAGGGGUGGGCUUCGUCAUAGCUGCGGUGCUAUGGUGACCAGCCUUGAUGACCAUCCAGUGCCUGGAGUUUGUCCUCUCCUCCUGGGACGCUCCUGGGUUCGAUUCUGCACAGACAUCCAUCCACAGACAAACCGUCAUGAUCAUGUUGUUAGAGACGGAUCCACGUCCAAUCAGGAAGGACCACAGUUUCUAAAAGUAAGCCGUGUGUCUCUGUUGUUUUGCAAACAAAGCCAUGAUUGGAUGAAAAAUGCCCAGUGAGUCCAGAGCUCCUUGCCUUCAUUUUACGUGUCUCACCUGAUAGUGGGCAAAAUGUUUGCAGUAACUGUUUUCUGAAUUCUUAGUGCCUCUGAAGCACGGAGUUAGUUACGAGGAGGAGUCAAUGUGAGGAGCCUUGGUUUGAACAGCACAGAAGCAUCUAGAAAGUACGGGGUUGGUAUUGGUUUUGAAGGUCCUCAGGGCACAGUAGAGACAACAGGUAUUUCCUCCGGACUUGAGAGCAGGGGGUAUGUGGAAGCAAUGGAGAAUCUAGAAUGCUUGCUUCAUAAAGGGCUCUGCAUUGGGGAACAGGUGGAUUUUGAGUCAAAGGCACAGGAAUACCUGGUACCCUUCCCAGGGUGCGCCACUUUUCCCAGAGCUGGGCAGGGAUUGAGAGGCUGAGAAAUAGAAUUAGGGGAGCAGGACCCAGCCAGGCAGUUAAGGAUCUCAACUGCCGUCAUAGGGACCUUGGGUUUUAAUUUCGUACACGCUGGGGAGUUACAAUUAGCUGGGUUUGGUGCCUGGUUUUUAUUCUUAUGAGAAGCGAAAGAAAAAUGUCAGAUUUGUAUUUUAGGAAAAAAUCGCUCUAGUGGCAAUGGGGAGAGUGUUUACAGGGCAGAGAACCAGCACCAGGGAGACAUUGGUGAAGCCAGAGGUGAUCAAGGUUGGCAGGGCAGCCGCAGAAGUAAACGUGCAGAGAGAGGGCAGGUGAACCUGAGACAUCGUUUAAAGGAAGCCGCCUGCCUGGGGGCUCAGGGGCAGAGACUCCUCCAGCCUGACUCUGGACGGCGAUGCUAUGAGUCGGGGAAGGAAGACCGUCAAGAAGGCAGAUAGGCAGGACCAGGAUACAGGCAGCUGCGAGGGCUCAUGGGAUCGAUAAACCAGUCUGUGAAUCUGUUAGAAAUCCAGGCACAGCAUUCGGAAGAAAGGAUUGACCGGGCAGGAAGGGGCCCCCUGGGUGGGUCAAGAAUGUACCUGACAGUGGCACACGGGUGAAGCAGGGAUACGCAUGAGGAGUGAGAAGGGGUAAAGGGCGGUACCCUGAAAACAUCCGGGUUACGAAGCCGAGGGGGUAACAGGAGCGCCCAGAUGUCUGGACAGAACCUUCGUAGGUGGCCCGGGGAGACCAGGGGACAGUGGGGUAACCACGGGGGCUGAGUUCAGAUAAAAGGGGUUCUAUAAUUUUGGAAAAGGCACGUGGAAGGUAACAUUCAGACCAGCAGGACAGGGGACUGACUGCAGAGGGGCACCCGGGAACCUGCUGGGCGGUUGGACAUACUCUCUAUUUUGAUGGUGGUGGUGGUUCCCUGAGUGUGUACAUUUGUCAAAACUCAUAGACCUUUUAAAAGGGUGAAUGUUAUUGAGUAUACUUUAUAAAUUAUUUAAUGAUUGAAAUUUAUUUCAUCAUACCCCAGUUAACAAAUACAUGAGGAAAUCUUGCUUUCUGAUCCUUGGAAUGGCCUUGAUGAGGGCAGGCUCCAGUCCGUGAAGACCUUUGCAGGAGUAAGAAGAUCGCAGUGGGUAGUACACGCCCAAAGGGACCAGGGACGAGAGGCCGCAAGAGUCCCACAGAACUCGAUGAUGAGCACCAUGCCAGGACUGCCCACACGGCCCUGCUUU